UACGUAGGCAGCGAGCGUUGUUCGGAGUUACUGGGCGUAAAGGGUGUGUAGGCGGUUCUCUAAGUUUGGUGUGAAAUCUCCCGGCUUAACCGGGAGGGUGCGCCGAAAACUGGAGGGCUAGAGUGCGGGAAGGGAGAGUAGAAUUCCUGGUGUAGCGGUGAAAUGCGUAGAUAUCAGGAGGAAUACCGGUGGUGUAGACGGCUCUCUGGACCGCGACUGACGCUGAGACACGAAAGCGUGGGUAGCAAACAGG
rnacentral:rRNA from 1 species